CCCUUAGAUGUUCUGGGCCGCACGCGCGCUACGCUGAUGCAUUCAACGAGCCUAUCCUUGACCGACAGGUCCGGGUAAUCUUUGAAUCUGCAUCGUGACGGGGAUAGAUUAUUGCAAUUAUUAAUCUUCAACGAGGAAUGCCUAGUAGGCGCAAGUCAUCAGCUUGCGUCGAUUACGUCCCUGCCCUUUGUACACACCGCCCGUCGCUCCUACCGAUUGGGUGUGCUGGUGAAAUGUUCGGAUCGGCCGUUUGUCGCGGUUUCCGCGUCAUGUGGCUGAGAAGUUCAUUAAACCCUCCCACCUAGAGGAAGGAGAAGGCGUAACA
rnacentral:rRNA from 1 species